UUGAUCCUGGCUCAGGACGAACGCUGGCGGCAUGCCUCAUACAUGCAAGUCGAGCGAUCUAACUUCGGUUAGGUAGCGGCGGACGGGUGAGUAACGCGUGGGCAACCUGCCCUAAAGUAGGGGAUAACAUCUCGAAAGAGAUGCUAAUACCUUAUAAGAUCCUCUCUUCGCAUGGAGAGAGGAAGAAAGGCGUAAGCCGCUUUAGGAUGGGCCCGCGUCCCAUUAGCUAGUUGGUAGGGUAACGGCCUACCAAGGCCGCGAUGGGUAGCCGGCCUGAGAGGGACGACCGCCACACUGGACUGAAGAACGGCCCAGACUCCUACGGGAGGCAGCAGUCGGGAAUAUUGGGCAAUGGGGGAACCCUGACCCAGCAAUGCCGCGUGAGUGACGAAGGUCUUCGGAUUGUAAAGCUCUGUCUUGGGGAAGAAGAAUGACGGUACCCAAGAAGAAAGCCACGGCUAACUACGUGCCAGCAGCCGCGGUAAUACGUAGGUGGCAAGCGUUGUCCGGAAAUUAUUGGGCGUAAAGGGCGAGUAGGCGGCCCAGUUAUGUCAGAUGUGAAAGGCUAGGGCUUAACCCUAACAUGGCAUUUGAAACUGAUUGGCUUGAGUGUAGGAGAGGGAAGCGGAAUUCCUAGUGUAGCGGUGAAAUGCGUAGAUACUAGGAGGAACACCAGUGGCGAAGGCGGCUUCCUGGCCUACAACUGACGCUGAUGCGCGAAAGCGUGGGGAGCAAACAGGAUUAGAUACCCUGGUAGUCCACGCCGUAAACGAUGGGUGCUAGGUGUGGGAGGUAUCGACCCCUUCCGUGCCAUAGUUAACGCAAUAAGCACCCCGCCUGGGGAGUACGGUCGCAAGACUGAAACUCAAAGGAAUUGACGGGGGCCCGCACAAGCAGCGGAGCGUGUGGUUUAAUUCGACGCAACGCGAAGAACCUUACCAAGGCUUGACAUCCCUCGCUAUUCGUAGAGAUACGAAGUUCCCUUCGGGGACGAGGAGACAGGUGGUGCACGGUUGUCGUCAGCUCGUGUCGUGAGAUGUUGGGUUAAGUCCCGCAACGAGCGCAACCCUUGUACUUAGUUGCCAUCAUUAAGUUGGGCACUCUAAGUAGACUGCCGGUGACAAACCGGAGGGAAGGUGGGGAAUGAACGUUCAAAUCAUCAUGCCCCUUAUGUCUUGGGCUACACACGCGCUACAAUGGUCUGUACGGAGGGCAGCGACACCGUGAGGUGAAGCGAAUCCCAUAAAACAGAUCUCAGUUCGGAUUGCAGGCUGCAACUCGCCUGCAUGAAGUCGGAGUUGCUAGUAAUCGCGGAUCAGAACGCCGCGGUGAAUGCGUUCCCGGGCCUUGUACACACCGCCCGUCACACCACGAAAGUUGGUAACACCCGAAGU
rnacentral:rRNA from 1 species